rnacentral:misc_RNA from 1 species
CGAGAAUCCAGCAAAUGAAAAUGGCCAGUCUGAGUCCGAAGCCCAACCUGAAUCGAACCAGCACGAUGAAUUAUAAUAGAAUAAUGAUAGGUAAUUAGUUCAAGUUUUGAUUUCCUGCCUCCUAAAUGCUAGAUAAGUAGCAUCCUUUGGCCUAAACGAAUUGUUGAGUUGAGAUCCUUCGAGGAAGAUAGAGAAUUGCAAAGUGAGCAGUUGUUG